AAGGAUCAUUAAUGAAACUUCAAGUCGGCCGUUCUGUGCUGGUGGCAACACAUGUGCACGUUCGGUCGCAAUCCACACACCUGUGCACUUUGACUCUGAGCACCGCCAGUAACAUGGCAGAAGGUUGUAAGGCGAAGGUCUGAACCCGGUACUCGAGUAUUUUACACACUCUGUAUGUAAUAGAAUGUAACUGUACAAUGUACAACUAUAAACAACUUUCAACAACGGAUCUCUUGGCUCUCGCAUCGAUGAAGAACGCAGCGAAAUGCGAUAAGUAAUGUGAAUUGCAGAAUUCAGUGAAUCAUCGAAUCUUUGAACGCACCUUGCACCCUUUGGUAUUCCGAAGGGUACACCCGUUUGAGUGUCAUUGUAAUCUCACUCCAACAACUUUAUUGAUGUUGGAUGUGGACUUGGAUGUUGUCGUGUUCAACGACUCGUCUUAAAUGCUUGAGUGUACCCUGCUUUGCAGCGUAUCAGUGUGAUAAACAUCUUCACUGUUAAGUCCUUUGGGACACGCUUGUGUUGUGGGCUCUAUGCUUUCUAACCGUCCUUUUGGACAAUCUCUGACAAUUUGACCUCAAAUCGGGUGGGACUACCCGCUGAACUUAAGCAUAUCAAUAAGCGGAGGAAAAGAAACUAACAAGGAUUCCCCUAGUAACGGCGAGUGAAGAGGGAAAAGCUCAAAUUUUGAAUCUGGUGUCUUUGACUCCCGAGUUGUAAUCUAGAGAAGUGUUUUCCGCGUUGGACCGUGCAAAAGUUCCCUGGAACGGGGCGUCAUAGAGGGUGAGAAUCCCGUAUAUGGCACGGACUACCACUGCUAUGUGAUACACUCUCAACGAGUCGAGUUGUUUGGGAAUGCAGCUCAAAAUGGGUGGUAAAUUCCAUCUAAAGCUAAAUAUUGGCGAGAGACCGAUAGCGAACAAGUACCGUGAGGGAAAGAUGAAAAGCACUUUGGAAAGAGAGUGAAACAGUACGUGAAAUUGUUGAAAGGGAAGCGUUUGAAGUCAGUCACGUCUGUCGGAAUUCAGCCUGGCUUCUGCCUGGUGUAUUUUCUGGCUGACGGGUCAGCAUCAAUUUUGACCGAGGGAAAAAGACUUGGGGAAUGUGGCUGUCUUCGGGCAGUGUUAUAGACCCUUGUUGUAUGUCUCGGUUGGGAUUGAGGAACGCAGCGCGCCUUUUGGCCGGGGUUCGCGCCCUCGGUACGCGCUUAGGAUGCUGGCAUAAUG
rnacentral:rRNA from 1 species